rnacentral:rRNA from 1 species
GACGAACCGUGCGAACGUUGUUCGGAAUCACUGGGCUUAAAGGGCGCGUAGGCGGGCCAGCAAGUCAGGGGUGAAAUCCCACGGCUCAACCGUGGAAGGGCCUUUGAUACUGCGGGCCUCGAGGGAGGUAGGGGCGUGCGGAACUUCCGGUGGAGCGGUGAAAUGCGUAGAUAUCGGAAGGAACAUAGGUGGCGAAAGCGGCGCGCUGGACCUCUUCUGACGCUGAGGCGCGAAAGCCAGGGGAGCAAACGGG